AGCUUUACUCCGAAAUGCACCUGAACCUGAAAACAUACAUAGAAGAGUAGAAAACAUAGAUAUAUAUAUAGUAAAACACCUAUAUACCAUGGAUGAAAACGGGUCAAAUCCAAGGUAUAUCAGCUAUAUAGAUCGUUUAUAGAUUUUGGUUCUCGGGCUUUGAGGAUGUUUAGGAACUUCUAUACUGAGGAUCCUGAGAUCAUAGUUCGGCCAGAGGGUUAUAAAGAACCUAGAGGUUUACCUUUUCCAGGUCCUGAAAAAAUCAUUUCAGGGCCCGGAGACUGCUUGGGGACCCGAAGGUUUUCAAUAACCCGGGGGUUCUGAAUUAUUAGUUUAAGGGACCAUAUUCUGCCGCUACAAAUACCUGUUGGGAUUUCGCAUUGUGCCGCUCGGAAGCUGGCCACUAUCGAGUUCCCGUGCUGCAUGCUGCUUCUGCAGGAAGCCACUAUCAGACUUAGAGGGUGCUGGUAUGGGUGAAAACCCAAGUGCCAGGCUUACGCUGCUUUCCACGUCUGGAGAAGCAGGAUAUUAUAGGGUGCUCCCGGACUUUUGCACUUUUUCUCCUUGUUAUCACAGUAAUUUUGCAAUUAUACCUUGUGUCCCAUAUAUUAUUUAGCACGUAGCGUUUUAAUACAGGUACCUUUCACGUUUGGGUAUUUAUUUAGUUUGGGACCCCUAUAUGCCUGAGGCUAUACAUGGGUUUUUAGGUAGUAUUGACGGCAUACUCGGGAUUGCGCAGACCCAUUCCUACCUUAUGUCUCAUACCCGUUUUGUUUUUCUGUGGUCGUACCACUUUUUCAUUGAGGGUUGGCCAGGAUCGGAGGUCGCUUGGACCUGAUCCAUCUUGUUUGCCCCUUUAGGUAUUAUGGUGUUCCUACUACUCUUUUAUAGUCGAAACUAUUUUAUUGCAUAAGCUGUGUCUGGAGACAUUUCAGCGUUCAUAGGAGUAGGAAUCCGUAAUGCUUAAAUAAUAGAUAUAGAAAAUAUGAUCUGGGGAUCGAUGUUAAAAAAUAAUAGGCUAUGAGGUGCAGGGCAUUCCAGCAAUUGGGUUGUAUUUAACCAUUAGCGUUUUGCAGCCUGUAUGCUCCCUGCACCUUGAUUACCUUGUAGGGUCCCCUCCCAUCCUGGGGUGAGUUUCCCAGUUGUUUUAUCUGCUCGUCGUAGGACCCAAUCGCCUUGCUGAAAGGUUCUUGUUCUGACCUUCUUGUUGUAGGUCUUGGCUACUUCCUGCUGGUAGGACCAGUUUUUCAGUCGAGCAGCUUCUCUUUUUUCGUCGAGUAGGUCGAGAGUCAGCAACAUUAGCUCAUGAUUUUCCUCCUGAGAGGUGGUCCCCGAGACCGUGGUCUUCACAUGCAUCUCGGUUGGGAUUAUGGCCUCUGCUCCAUAUACCAACGCAUAGGGGGUCUAAUGUGUAGCUGUCUUGAGGGUAGUCCGAUAGGCCCAAAGGACUCCAUGUAGCUCUUCCGUCCAGUUUCCUUGAGAACCCUCCAAGCGUUUCUUCAGCAUAUUUACCACAAUCUUGUUUGUGGAUUCCUCUUGCCCAUUAGAUUGAGGGUGUCGAGGUGUAGCAAAUGAGAGUCUUAUGCCCCUGUCUUUGCAGAACUCCUUGAAAUUUUGGCUUGUAAACUAAGGGCCGUUGUUUGUAACAAUUUCCUCUCAAACCCCGACCCGCGUGAUUACGUGCGUCCAUAUGAAUUUUCUGAUUUGGAGGUCAGUUAUCUUGCUGAGUGCUUCUGCUUCGACCCAUUUCAAGAAAUAGUCUGUUACUAUUAGGAGGAAGAUCUUCUGGCCUGGCGCCAUGGGAAACUUCCCCACUAUGUCCAUGCCCCAUUUCCUGAAAGGCUAGGGUGAGCUUAUGGACUUGAGAUACCCUGGAGGUAGUUUAGAAACUGGAGCGUGUCUUUGGAAUUUGUCGCAGAUUUUAGCCUUUUGAUUGGCAUCCUCGUCAUCGUGGGCCAGUAGUAUCCCGUUAUUUUAGCUUUCAACAUUAGGCUUCUUCCGCUGGAGUGAGACCCACAAUCUCCCUCGUGUAGUUCCACCAGGAUCCUAGCUGCUUUACGGGGUGUGAGGCAUCUCAGGUAUGGGCCAGAGAAUGACCUGCGGUAUAGCUUUUCCUGAGAGAGGCAGUAUCUAGCGUCUUUCUUCUUAAUGUUCCUGCUCUAAUUGCGUUCUUCUGGGAGUAUGUCAUCCUCAAGAUACCGGACUAAGGGAGUCAUCCAUGUUUCUUCCUCUUCAAUGGCAGAGACCUCCUCGUUCGAUGGCUCUACUAGGGUGGCCAGCCAUUGGAGUACCAGAAAAGGGAUACUCAUAUGGGUAUGCGUCUCAAGGGCGACCCUAGGUUAGCCAAAGCGUCGGCUUGCAAAUUCUGUUCUCUGGGAAUCUGAGUGAGUUUGCAGCUUUUGAACUACUUGUGCGCGACUGCCAGAUACCGGAUCAUGCUAUCAUCCUUAGCCUGGUAUUCUCCUUGUGGUUGAUUGAAAAUUAGUUGGGAGUCACUGUAAACUUGGAUAUUUUCUGCACCCAGCUGGUGGGCGAGCGAUAAUCUAGCGAUCAAGGCCUCAUACUCGCUCGUUUUUCGUUGCCUUGAAGUUACAUCUUACGGCUCUCGAGGCAGUGUUCCCUGCUGGAGACGUGAGCACGAUCUCUACUCCUGCCCCUCGAACGUUACUGGAGCCGUCUACAUGCAAGGUCCAUUCUCCUUCUUCUUCUACCCCAUUCCGGAGACGUAUCUCCUGUUCGAGAGCCGGGAGCAGAGCUGAAGAGAAUUCGACUACAAAAUCUGCUAGGACUUAGGAUUACAUCGCCGUGGCUGGCCUGAAGAUCAUGUCGUAUUCCGUAACGACCACAAUUGGGAAGGAGGCAACUUUCGAGUGACGACCAUCAGUGUAAAAACCCUCACGAGCCAAUAAAUUUAUGGUCGAGAAAAAUCCCGCUCGACCAGUUUUUUUUUAGUUGGUUCGACAAGGAUUAAUAAAAAUAAAAAUCGACCGAUAGAUUAAUUUCUCGACGGGACUGUCUUGUGGUCGAAAGACCUUCACUUGAUAGUUUGGUCGAGUCUUAAAUAAUUUGGUCAAAUUUUUAUUAAGCUGGACGAGAUUUUCCGAGAACAAGACGAGAGCCAAAGACAAGGAAUAUUUGGUUGAAAUAUUAUUUAAAACUGUCAACCAACUUCCAAAAUAAUUUUUGAACUGAGUUAUGUCCUCCACCAGCCGGUUUGUUCACUUAUUCUGUCCCAUGACUUGCACCUGCCUGCUUACCUAGCUUCUUCAGUACAUGUCAUAUGACAAUCACAAGCUGCCUGUGUGCUUGCUUCCUCUCUUAAUUAUUAUGAUUGGCUGGAAACUGUUUCAUGGGAGGGAAAGGACAGCAUGGUGCAGAUGUUGAAGCAGCUUGCUAGCUGUCUCCUCUUACCCUUCUUUGGUCCCUCAGCUGGACACUCAUCCAAAGACCAUCUGAAAUAUAUAAACCUCUCCUCCAGCUGCUUUACCACGUUCUGAAACCUCAGAAAAAUCCACAAAAUUUUCAGAGAGAAAGAAGAAGAGAAAAUCAGUGAGAAAAUCAGGAAAUUAAAUCAAGAAAAGAAAUUGUUGGUGAUUUGAUCUUCAGCCCUAUCUCUGUCAGUUUCUGUGAGAAAGAUCAGAAGGUGAGAUUCUUAAAUAAAACCCUAGACCUAGUUCAGUUCAGAUCAUGAUCAGGUCUUGAUCUUUCUCUUUGAUCAGUUCAGCCACAAUCUAAUCUUGGAGAAGAGGAUCAGCUGAGGCCAUCUAGUCCUUUGGUUCAUCUUGGUAAGCUUUGGUCUCUUACCUGAGUCAUGUCUUGAUCAGAGCUAGUUGAUGUUUAUAUAAGAACUUGGUCGGAUCAGUUCUCUAAGUGGUGAUAUAGUUCAGAUUUUGAUUAAUUUCGGUUUGAAUCAACCUCUUAGAACCACCAGCUAUGAUGUUCUGAUCUGACUUUGAUUAAACCAAUUUGAACUCAGUCUGAUCUUGUCCUGAACUUUGGUAGACUGACUAGAACCAAGCUGAACUGGUAUAGUUUGAUCAUUCACUUCUGUUUCAGGUCAGAGGGGGAGUAAGGCUUUAGGUAUCCAAUCAGUUCCAAGACUAAUCUAUUAGGUGAGUCUAGAUAGAUGUUGAGAUUGAUUAAGUUAGUAAAGUCUCUCAAGUUUAUAAGAAUGGUGUUAUGUUUACUUAUUGUGAACUAUACAUAAGAGUAAUCAAAAUGUUAAAGUAAGGUUAAUCCUCAUCUUAGUACUUGUGAACAAGUACUAAUCUUAACUAUGAAAUAAUCAUGGUUUAAUUAAGGAUUAAUCUUGGUUUAAUUAAUGAUUAAUCUUGGUUUAAUUAAGGAUUAAUCUUGGUUUAAUUAAGAAUUAAUCUGAAAUUAAUUAAAGAAUAAUCAUGAUUAAUUAAGUACUAAUCUUAGAUUAAUUAAAAAUUAAUAUGAGAUUAGUUAUGGAUUAAUCUGGGAUUAAUUUAGAGUUAAUUAUGAUUAAUUAAGGAUUAUUUAUGGAAUAAUUUUGGAAUGAUUAUGGAAGUAAAAUCAUGUGAAGUCUUGUUAUAUUAACUUUCACUAAUGUCCCCGCAUUACAGUGACUUGGUCCUGCGAAUGGAACAUGGUCAUGAAGACACGAUGAUGGGGUAGCUCCCUGGAGAGCGUGUACUGCAUGACGAUGCAGUGUCGGAUUGUUCAUAUCGGACAUUCGACAAUGAUGGUGAUGCUAACUCACUAGUCUCGGUUAGCCUUAGUGUUUUCUCGGGUCUAGUAUAUAUAUUGUAUUAUAUUCUUAUGGUAACGGGCGCGUGUUGUGGAAGUGAUGUUUAAAAUAAGAAUUCAUAAUGAUGAUCGAUAUUAAAGUAUAGUACUAGUACUUGCAUGAUCAUGUAUAUGCAUUUGAUAAUUGUUUGGUUUAUUAUUGAUUGUGUUGUGAUUCUAGAUUCACUGAGUAAACUAGUUGCUCAUGACUCAUUCGUGUGUGCAGGUAACCCUUAGACGGGAGACACUUUACUCUUUUGGACGAAAGGAGUGGCCAACUAGUGGUAGUAUUUUGUUGUCCUUGCAACGUACCUUUUGAUGUAUAUUUACUUAAAACGUUGUUGGGCGAUAGGCCGUAGGAUAAAACUAUAACACUUUGUAAGAUGUUUAAAGUAAACAAAUAAUGUAUAAAAGAUGUUUAUAAAUCACGAGUUCUCAUAUGAUAUUAGUCCUUAUCCGGGACGAACUAACUGUCGAAAAUUGCUUUAUUGGGUUGAAAAGCCUAGAGUAAUAUCCGAUAGGAGUGUCUGUGUUCUUUGGUUGUUGGUCUAAGGUGAUCGGAUUUAUUUCGAGAACCCCGGGUCGACCAUCAGGGAAUAUAGACCGUGUCAUUUCCGGUUAUCUACGAUCGGGGAUGUCACAAUCAAGGCUAGGGCCAAUUUCUCCAGAUGGCUAUAGCGGGUUUCCGCGUCCAAGAGUGCUUUACUCACGUAGUAGAUUGGCAGCUGCUUAGUUCCCUCUUCUCGGGCCAGGACGGCGCUGACUGCAUGUUCUGAGACCGCGAGAUACAUUAGCAGGACCUCACCAAGCAAGGGUUUAGAUAAGAGGGGAUGAGUGGUGUGGUAGGCCUUGAGCUUGUUGAGAGCCGACUCACACUUCUCGGUCCACUUGAAAUCCUUUGGGUUCUUUAGGGUUUCAAAGAAGGCAUGGGAUUUGUCGGAGAGUCUGGAUAUGAAUCUGCUGAAAGCCGCCAUCCUACCAGUCAGCUUCUGGAUUUCUUUGACGUUUAUUGGAGACGGAAUCGAGUGGAUGGCCUUGAUCUGCUCUGGGUUGGCUUCGAUGCCCCGGUGGGUCACGAUAUACCCUAGAAAUAUUUCCGGAACUGACGCCGAAUGAGCACUUGGCUGGGUUGAGCUUCAUGUUUUAUCUUCGGAGGGUAGAGAAGGCUUGUUGUAAGUGCGAUAUAUGAUCCUCUGCUUCCAGGGACUUUACCAGCAUAUCGUCGAUGUAGACUUCCAUAGUUUGCCCUAUCUGAUCCGCAAACAUCAUAUUUACCAGCCUCUUGUACGUCGAUCCAGCAUUCUUCAGACGGAAGGGCAUGACCUUGUAGCAAUAGAUCCCUCGGGACGUCCUGAAGGAGGUCUUCUCAUGGUCUUCAGGAUUCAUGAGUAUUUGGUUAUAGCCGGAGAUGGCAUCCAUGAAGCUCAUUAGUUGGUGUCCAGCUGUGGCAUCGACAAACUUAUCGUUGUGAGGCAGAGGGAAGGGGUCCUUUGGACAAGACUUGUUGAGGUCCGUGAAAUCAAUGCAGACUAGCCAUUUUCCAUUCUUUUUCCUGACCACGACCACGUUGGCCAGCUAUUCUGGAUACUGCACUUGUCGAAUGAACCCCGCUUUCAACAAAUUUUUGACUUCUUCGUUAAUUAUAGUAUCUCUUUCCGGAGCAAACUUCCUUCGCUUAUGCCUUAUAGGUUGUUGCAAGGGAUCUACUUGCAGCUGGUGCAUAAUGAUUUAUGGGUCGAUCUCGGGCAUAUCCAAGUGGGAACUCGCGAAGCAAUCAGAGUUUGAUCUAAGGAAGUUUAUUUGCCUUCUUCUCAGCCCCUCGGAGAGUUGGAGCCAAUCUUGAGGUUACGGGUCGAGUUUCUUUCGAUCAACAGCACUUCAUCCAUAUCUUCAAUCUCGGGUUCUUUCGUAUAUGGAGUCGAGGCUUUCUUUGCGAGGGUGGAGGUACCUCAGCCCGUUUCUUUAGAGCGACCUGGUAGCAGUGGCGAGCGAUUUCCUGAUCUCCUUUAAUCGCUCUAAUGCCCCAGGGUGUGGGAAAUUUUAUUAACUGAUGGAGAGUUGAGGGACCGCCCCCAUGUUGUGAAUCCAUGAUGGGCCCAGGAUCCCGUUAUAGGAAGAGUGGCAGUUAACGACCAGGAACUUGCUGUGUAAGCUGACUCCUUCAGCGUAGGUAGGGAGGAUGGUUUCCCCCGUUGUUCGUUUGAUAUCUCUGCGGAACCCGAUGAGGGGGGUCGCUUUGCGUAUCAGGGCAUUCUCCUCCAGCCAUAGACCUUGAUAUGCAGCCUGGAAGAUGAUGUUACAAGAGCUACCACUGUCCACCAGUAUCCUCUUGACCAGACAGUUCGCUAUAGUAAUCGAGAUGAUGAGGGUGUCAUGAUGUGGAGCCAAUACCUUCUCUCGUUCUUUGGAGGUGAAGCCUAUCUUGUCGGUUUCAGGGUGUUCCGACUUGAUGGUUUCAGGGUCGUCCCCCACACCGUUGGUAUUUUUCUUGACGGCGGGGUGGCUUACAUCACCUGCCUCCAGUCCCCCAGAUAUGACGUGGAUCUGAUGUAGUUUAGUUUAUUGGGUUCGCAAGUUGCCGGGUAGCCCCUGGGGCUCGGCUUUUCUUCGAACUGCUUUGGAUAGCUCGUCGCGCUCAUCCAUCGCCAUCAUCACGUAGUUAGAUUACUCCCCUCCUUCUAGCGCGAAACUGUUAGGGGAUUUUUGUGUAGGCUCUUUUAGAGUACCACAGACCAAUGGAUAAGCUGGUUUCUAUUAAGUGUUUGUGUAUGUUUCGUGGGCAUAUAGUAAGAUAAUGAAGAUAUAGGCUUGAAGAGACUUUUAUUAGAUAGAACAAGCAAGAACAAGCGAGGUUACAAGGUAUUAGGUAAGAAACCUAAUUCUAGCCGUCUAUUUCUAAUCUCUUAGCCUUGGAGAAGUCGAUCCCUUGCUUUAGGGAUUUAGGAGCUCUUUAAACUUGUCUUGAAGUUGGUUUGGUUUAGGUUAAACUCUUCCAUAUUCGGAAAUAUGGAAGGUUAUCUUUGUCGAAAGUCUUCCAUUUCUUGGAAGGGAGGUCGGUCCCUAGGACCGAUCCCAAGGUUCCUUUUUAGCGGGAACUUGGAGCGUUCAUUUAUCGGGGACCUGGGGCCUGGGUCCCGCUUAGAGGCUGGAGGAAAUGAUACCGGGGUAUUUUCCCCAACAUUUAUUAUGAGAAGUGUUUACAUAUUUAUACUACUACUUAAGGAAUAGAAAAAGACAUAGGAAUGUGUUAAUGACAAACUUAGGAAAUAAAAAUUGACAAAGAAGUUUGAAAGACAAUGUAGAAAAACUCUUGGAUCUCAGACCUGGUCAAAGAUGACUCUUCAACUGGCAUCCAGGUUUGUCUAAACCAAGUGGUUCCUUAGCGGUAAGUAGCAGAACGGACGCGGUGCGGUCAGGACAAUCAUCCGGGUAAGGCUCAUGCACCAGCUUGGUCCCAGCACGACCCAAGUCUUUGGACAGUUGAAGAAUCCGUGCCUUAAAGAAAUUUUGAUCAUCAAAGUUCAGGAACUGAUCAUACGGGCCGGCUGAUCCAUCAGUACGUUCGUUGGGCCACUCGGCUCGGAUCAGACGGACCAAAAGGGAAAGGCUAUGGUCUGGCUCGGACUCCUCUCGAUCAAAGUGGGUUAUGGCUUGACCAUUCGUCUUGGCUUGGCGAGUGGGGCGGGGAAGACGGACUGUGGUUCGGUUGGUUUGGUCGUCUGGACGUGGUUCCAGCCUUAGCUCCUUUCCGGACGCUUGCGGGUUGAUCCGGUACACGGCUCGGUCUGUCUGCCUUAACGGUCUGUUGCUCGAACAUCGGUUGAAAUGAUCUGAUCGUCCUGAGCUCAGUCCUGGACUGGUUCCAUGUACUGAUCCAUGUACUGAGGCGCAUCACCCUCAUUUUGGGUAGACCAUUUCUAGAUACAGCUGAUGCGAUCAUCGAUGUCAAGGAAGGUAGGAUAUGUCUAAACAUUGGAAACAUCCCGAUGACCUUCAACAUGGAAAAACUGAUAAGACGACCCUUAAUCAAUAAACAAACUUCCUACGUGGACGAUAUUUCUGAGUUGGCUUAAGAAUCUUUCAUAGACCUGUGCUCAGAUGAUCCCCUGGAAAUAGUACUCACGUCCAGUGAAGAAGAAACAAUUAGUGUUGACAGCAGAGCUGAGGAAUACACACGAUUGAUGGACGCACGUAUGGAAGUAGUGAAUGUUGAUGACAUAGAGGAUGACUCUUCGGAAAUCAACAUUGAUCGAUAUUUGAAAAAAGCUGUUGAUCGACAACCAUCUCCCUUAGAAGAUUGGGAUCCCGAAAAAGCACCAAAGAUUGAGUUAAAGCAACUAUCCGCUGGACACAAAUAUGUUUUUCUCUAUAAAAAUUCCUACCCCGUAAUCGUGAACGCCUACCUGACCAAUGGAGAACUUGCGUUGUUAUUAAACAAACUGCAAAAAUAUAGGAAAGCCCUCGGAACUCUCUCGAGGAUAUUCCUAGUAACUCUCCAGAUCUGUGCAUGCACCGGAUUCACCUAGAAGACGAUUCAAAAUCGUCAGUGGAGCACCAAAGGCGACUAAACCCAAACUUGAAGAAAAAGGAAAUAAUCAAACUUCUAGAUGAUGGGUCAUUUACCCAAUUUCGGAUAGCAACUGGGUUAGCUCCAUGCAUAUCGUACCAAAAAAAGACGGAAUCACUGUGUUGAAGAAUGGUAAAAACAAGCUCAUCCCUACGAGAACUGUCACCGGACAUAGGAUGUGCACCGACUAUAGGAAGUUGAACGCUGCCACAAGGAAAUAUCACUUCCCUAUACCCUUCAUUGAUCAAAUGUUGGAAAGACUGGCAAAUCAGCAAUAUUAUUGUUUUCUUGACGGUUACUCCGGAUUUUUCCAAAUCUCUAUACAUCCUGACGAUCAAAAAAAGACCACUUUUACAUGCCCUUACGGAACAUUCACAUACCGCAGGAUGCCUUUCGGUCUUUGUAAUGCUCCCGCCACUUUCCAACGUUGCAUAAUGUCAAUCUUCACAAAUAUGAUAGAGGAUUUCAUGGAAGUUUUUAUGGACGAUUUCUCUGUGUAUGGAUCCAGUUUCAAAAACUGUCUCGAUAACUUAUGUAAAGUCUUGGCAAGAUGUGAAGAAAAGAACCUCGUUCUGAAUUGGGAAAAAUGCCACUUUAUGGUUAACGAUGGUAUCGUCCUAGGACAUAAAGUAUCCGCUGCUGGCAUAGAAGUAGAUCUGGUGAAGAUUGAGGUAAUGACCGGCCUGCCUGCACCCACGUACGUAAAAGACGUGAGAAGUUUUCUCGGGCACGCCGGAUUUCAGGUUCAUACAAGAUGAUAUACCUUGGAUUUGACCCAUUUUUAUCCAUGGUAUAUAAGUAUUUUACUAUAUAUAUAUCUAUGUUUUCUACUCUUCUAGGUAUGUUUUCAGGUUCAGGUGCAUUUCGGAGUAAAGCUAUGACUUUGGAGCAUUUUGGAGCUUAAAAGACAUUUCACCCGAGCGGACCACGUAGAGGUCGACGAGAGGAAGAAUAAUCGAUCGAUGCGCAUCAGUGCUGACGAUCGAUACCAGGAGAUGCCUCGACAGAUGAAGUUUAAUAUCGAUUGAUGUACCCAAGUACCAUCGAUCGAUGUCGAGACACCAGACGCGCCAUUUUGGACUCAGCAGACUUAAAACCCAAGGCCAAGCUAAAUUACCAAAAUGCCCUGAUGAGUUUUUAACUUAGUAAAAUAUAUACUGCCUAAGUGUUUUGACGGCAG